UUCAACGGCCACGGUAUCCUAACCGUGCGAAGGUAGCAUAAUCACUUGUUCUUUAAAUGAGGACUCGUAUCAACGGCAUCACGAGGGUUAUACUGUCUCCUUUUUCUAAUCAGUGAAACUAAUCUCCCCGUGAAGAAGCGGGGAUACUUUUAUAAGACGAGAAGACCCCAUGGAGCUUUAAACCCAACUACACCCCUGACCCCCACAACCUCUUAACUCACAAGGUCCUGUACUGUUGGUUUUAGGUUGGGGCGACCACGGAGUAUAACAAAACCUCCACAAUGAAUAAGAUCUUUUCCUUAAUCUAAGAAUUACAACUCCAAGAAUUAGCACACUAACAUANAAUGAUCCAUAUAAAUGAUCAAUGAACCAAGUUACCCUGGGGAUAACAGCGCAAUCCAUUUAAAGAGCUCCUAUCGACAAAUGGGUUUACGACCUCGAUGUUGGAUCAGGGUGUCCCAGUGGUGCAGCAGCUACUAACGGUUCGUUUGUUCAACGAUUAAUACCCU
rnacentral:rRNA from 1 species